AUUGAACGCUGGCGGCAUGCUUUACACAUGCAAGUCGAACGGCAGCGCGGGCUUCGGCCUGGCGGCGAGUGGCGAACGGGUGAGUAAUACAUCGGAACGUGCCCAGUAGUGGGGGAUAGCUCGGCGAAAGCCGGAUUAAUACCGCAUACGACCUGAGGGUGAAAGCGGGGGAUCUUCGGACCUCGCGCUAUUGGAGGGGCCGAUGGCAGAUUCGCUAGUUGGUGGGGUAAAGGCCUACCAAGGCGACGAUCUGUAGCUGGUCUGAGAGGACGACCAGCCACACUGGGACUGAGACACGGCCCAGACUCCUACGGGAGGCAGCAGUGGGGAAUGUUGGACAAUGGGCGAAAGCCUGAUCCAGCAAUGCCGCGUGUGUGAUGAAGGCCUUCGGGUUGUAAAGCACUCUUGGCGGGAACGAAAAGGACUGUGCCAAUACCACGGUUCGAUGACGGUACCCGCAGAAUAAGCACCGGCUAACUACGUG
rnacentral:rRNA from 1 species